rnacentral:rRNA from 1 species
UGGGGAAUAUUGCACAAUGGGCGCAAGCCUGAUGCAGCGACGCCGCGUGGGGGAUGACGGCCUUCGGGUUGUAAACUUCUUUCGCCAGGGACGAAGCGUUUUGUGACGGUACCUGGAGAAGAAGCACCGGCUAACUACGUGCCAGCAGCCGCGGUAAUACGUAGGGUGCAAGCGUUGUCCGGAAUUACUGGGCGUAAAGAGCUCGUAGGUGGUUUGUCACGUCGUCUGUGAAAUUCCACAGCUUAACUGUGGGCGUGCAGGCGAUACGGGCUGACUUGAGUACUGUAGGGGUAACUGGAAUUCCUGGUGUAGCGGUGAAAUGCGCAGAUAUCAGGAGGAACACCGAUGGCGAAGGCAGGUUACUGGGCAGUUACUGACGCUGAGGAGCGAAAGCAUGGGUAGCAAACAGGAUUAGAUACCCUGGUAGUCCAUGCCGUAAACGGUGGGCGCUAGGUGUAGGGGCCUUUUGGGGUUUCUGUGCCGUAGCUAACGCAUUAAGCGCCCCGCCUGGGGAGUACGGCCGCAAGGCUA